rnacentral:rRNA from 1 species
GAAUUCCAAGCUUGAGUUUGAUCCUGGCUCAGGAUGAACGCUGGCGGUGUGCCUAAAACAUGCAAGUCGAGCGCCCAACUCAUUGUGUUUGUUUCUUUUGCGGUCCCGAGGACAGGACGCGGGGAUUUUCGAAGAAAAUCAGCCGCAUCUAGUAAAAAGGAAGAAGGCAAGAGGGGAGCAAAUCUCGUCAGAGAUUUAGCUCACAACGAACGUAGUGAGUUGGGAGCGGCGGACGGCUGAGUAACGCGUAGGAACGUACCCCAAAGUGAGGGAUAACGCACCGAAAGGUGUGCUAAUACCGCAUAUGGUCUUCGGAUUAAAGCAGCAAUGCGCUAUGGGAACGGCCUGCGUCGGAUUAGGUAGUUGGUGAGGUAACGGCUCACCAAGCCGACGAUCCGUAGCUGGUCUGAGAGGAUGAUCAGCCAGACUGGAACUGAGACACGGUCCAGACUCCUACGGGAGGCAGCAGUUAGGAAUCUUCCACAAUGGGCGCAAGCCUGAUGGAGCAACACCGCGUGCUGGAUGAAGGCCUUCGGGUCGUAAACAGCUUUUGUAUACGAAGAAUAUGACGGUAAUAUACGAAUAAGGGUCGGCUAACUACGUGCCAGCAGCCGCGGUCAUACGUAGGACCCAAGCGUUAUCCGGAGUGACUGGGCGUAAAGAGUUGCGUAGGCGGUCUUUCAAGCGAGUAGUGAAAUCUGGUGGCUCAACCAUCAACCCAUUGCUCGAACUGGGAGACUUGAGAGUGGUAGAGGUAGCUGGAAUUUCUUGUGUAGGAGUGAAAUCCGUAGAUAUAAGAAGGAACACCAAUGGCGUAGGCAGGCUACUGGACCAUUUCUG